rnacentral:rRNA from 1 species
GGCGUGCUUACACAUGCAGUCGAACGGAAAGGCUCCUGCUUGCAGGGGUACUCGAGUGGCGAACGGGUGAGUAACACGUGGGUGAUCUGCCCUGCACUUCGGGAUAAGCCUGGGAAACUGGGUCUAAUACCGGAUAGGACGAUGGUUUGGAUGCCAUUGUGGAAAGUUUUUUCGGUGUGGGAUGAGCUCGCGGCCUAUCAGCUUGUUGGUGGGGUAAUGGCCUACCAAGGCGUCGACGGGUAGCCGGCCUGAGAGGGUGUACGGCCACAUUGGGACUGAGAUACGGCCCAGACUCCUACGGGAGGCAGCAGUGGGGAAUAUUGCACAAUGGGCGCAAGCCUGAUGCAGCGACGCCGCGUGGGGGAUGACGGCCUUCGGGUUGUAAACUCCUUUCGCUAGGGACGAAGCGUAAGUGACGGUACCUGGAGAAGAAGCACCGGCUAACUACGUGCCAGCAGCCGCGGUAAU